rnacentral:rRNA from 1 species
GACGAACGCUGGCGGCGUGCUUAACACAUGCAAGUCGAACGGAAAGGCCCUGCUUGCAGGGUACUCGAGUGGCGAACGGGUGAGUAACACGUGGGUGAUCUGCCCUGCACUUCGGGAUAAGCCUGGGAAACUGGGUCUAAUACCGGAUAGGAGCCAUUUUUAGUGUGAUGGUUGGAAAGUUUUUUCGGUGUAGGAUGAGCUCGCGGCCUAUCAGCUUGUUGGUUGGGUAAUGGCCUACCAAGGCGGCGACGGGUAGCCGGCCUGGGAGGGUGGACGGCCACAUUGGGACUGAGAUACGGCCCAGACUCCUACGGGAGGCAGCAGUGGGGAAUAUUGCACAAUGGGCGCAAGCCUGAUGCAGCGACGCCGCGUGGGGGAUGACGGCCUUCGGGUUGUAAACUCCUUUCGCUAGGGACGAAGCUUUUUGUGACGGUACCUAGAUAAGAAGCACCGGCUAACUACGUG